GACGAACGCUGGCGGCGUGCUUAAUACAUGCAAGUCGAGCGAACAGACGAGGAGCUUGUUCCUCUGACGUUAGAGGCGGACGGGAGAGUAACAUGUGGAUAACCUACUUAUAAGAGUGGGAAAAACUCGGGAAACCGGAGCUAAUACCGGAUAAUCUAUUGAAACGUAUGGUUAAUUAGUGAAAGACGGUUUUGAUGUCAGUCAUAGCUGGAUAUGAGCUGCAUUAGCUAGUUGGUAAGGUAACGGCUUACCAAGGCAACGAUGCGUAGCCGACCUGAGAGGGUGAUCGGCCACACUGGACCGUGAACACGGUCCAGACUCCUACGGGAGGCAGCAGUAGGGUAUCUUCCGCAAUGGGCGAAAGCUUGACGGAGCAACGCCGCGUGAGUGAUGAAGGUCUUCGGAUCGUAAAACUCUGUUAUUGGGGAAGAACAAAUGUGUAAGUAACUAUGCACGUCUUGACGGUACCUAAUCAGAAAGCCACGGCUAACUACGUG
rnacentral:rRNA from 1 species